rnacentral:rRNA from 1 species
AACGCGUAGACAAUCUGCCCUUCAGUCUGGGACAACUUUUCGAAAGGAGAGCUAAUACCGGAUAACAAUGUUUGACAUAAGUUAAAUAUUUGAAAGCUUUAUGUGCUGAAGGAGGGGUCUGCGUCCCAUUAGCUAGUUGGUGAGGUAAAGGCUUACCAAGGCAACGAUGGGUAACGGGUUUGAGAGGACGAUCCGUCACACUGGAAAGUGAGACACGGUCCAGACUCCUACGGGAGGCAGCAGUGGGGAAUAUUGCACAAUGGAGGAAACUCUGAUGCAGCAAUGUCGCGUGAGUGAAGAAGGCCCUUGGGUCGUAAAGCUCUUUUAUGGGGGAAGAUGAUGACGGUACCCCAGGAAUAAGCACCGGCUAACUACGUGCCAGCAGCCGCGGUAAUACGUAGGGUGCGAGCGUUGUUCGGAAUUACUGGGCGUAAAGGGCGCGCAGGCGGAAUAGUAAGUCGGAGGUGAAAGCCCGGGGCUCAACCCCGGAGGGUCUUUCGAAACUGCUAAUCUAGAGAGGGUCAGGGGCCAGCAGAAUUCCUGGUGUAGAGGUGAAAUUC